rnacentral:rRNA from 1 species
GAUGAACGCUAGCGGCAGGCCUAAUACAUACAAGUCGAACGGUGUCUUCGGACAUAGUGGCGCACGGGUGCGUAACACGUAUGCAACCUACCUUACAUUGGGGGAUAGCCUUUCGAAAGGGAGAUUAAUACCGCAUAAGACAGUAGCUGGGCAUCCAGCAGCUGUUAAAGAUUUAUCGAUGUAAGCUGGGCAUGCGUCCAAUUAGCUAGAUGGUGAGGGAACGGCACACCAAGGCAAUGAUUGGUAGGGGAACUGAGAGGUCAAUCCCCCACACUGGCACUGAGAUUCGGACCAGACUCCUAAGGGAGGCCGAAGUAGAGAAUAUUGGGCAAUGGACGCAAGUCUGACCCAGCCAUGCCGCGUGCAGGAUGAAGGCGUUAUGCGUUGUAAACUGCUUUUAUACAGGAAGAAACGACUCUUGCGAGAGGCAUUGACGGUACUGUAUGAAUAAGCACCGGCUAACUCCGUGCCAGCCGCCGCCGUAACAC